AUGCAUUCAAAUGAGGCCCCGCAAUGGGGGGUGGGGGUGGCUGCUCCCAUUGUGAUCUGUCACACCGAAGGGGCCAGCCUAGCACCCGGAAUGGGAGGCCUGAGGGGAGAGGUUAAAAUCUCAGCUGCCCAGAGAGAUGAUUACGGAGCUGCUCGCAAAUUAAGCUGCUUCACUGCUGAGAAACCUGUUUCAGCUGCCACAGGAACAUCAGGAUUUGUCUGCUCUGGAUUUGCUGAAUGCAGACAUCUUUAUGUAGCCAGCCAUCGUCAUAUCUCCGGGGCCUCCAUGUCACUGCUUCAUCCGUUGACUACACAAUUAAACACGUCUGGGAGUCAGGUUAUCGUCAUGGGCAAGAGCACUGAGAGUCAGCCAGUUCUGGAUUACAGUCUUGGCUCCUUCACUUUCUUAUUACUAUGACCUUGGGCAAAGUUACUUAAAACCUCUGAGCCUUAGUUUUCUUACCCAUACAAUGAGGGUAAUAAACAUAGAGCAUAUCUACCUCUUAAGGUUAUUGUGAAGAUGAAAUGAGAGAGAUGAAUGUUUUAGGUUGAGCUACAUGAAAUUAUCAAUUUGUGACCAUUUGGACCAAUAAAGCAAUUUUACAUGGUUCAUACUAAUAAAUGGCUUAGCAAAGUACCUGAAUUCUAUCAAAGAUUUAACAGUAAUAACAAUUUACAGA
rnacentral:lncRNA from 1 species